CCUACGGGAGGCUGCAGUGAGGAAUAUUGGUCAAUGGACGAGAGUCUGAACCAGCCAAGUAGCGUGAAGGAUGACUGCCCUAUGGGUUGUAAACUUCUUUUAUAUGGGAAUAAAAUGUUCCACGUGUGGGAUUUUGUAUGUACCAUAUGAAUAAGGAUCGGCUAACUCCGUGCCAGCAGCCGCGGUAAUACGGAGGAUCCGAGCGUUAUCCGGAUUUAUUGGGUUUAAAGGGAGCGUAGGUGGGUUUUUAAGUCAGUGGUGAAAGUUUGCGGCUCAACCGUAACAUUGAAGUUGAAACUGGCGGGCUUGAGGACAGGAGAGGUGGGUGGAAUGCGUGGUGUAGCGGUGAAAUGCUUAGAGAUCACGAAGAACUCCGAUGGCGAAGGCAGUUAACCGGACUGCAACUGACACUGAGGCUCGAAAGUGUGGGUAUCAAACAGGAUUAGAUACCCUGGUAGUC
rnacentral:rRNA from 1 species